UGUCAAAGUUGUUUUGUUGUGUCACCUACACUACGCCUAAAUCACGCAUGAUCCGUCGUUUGACUCCUGAACAGUUUACGUAACUCAGAGGGUUAAUUGCGUUAACCCAAACUAAAAGGAAAAACACUUUGCUUUGUUUUUAUAAACAGAAAUUAUAUUUCGUGUUGACAUCACGCCGUUAAAAAAACGAGAUAUAGCCUAUCCAUCCAGAAGCGCGCAUUAGCCGACAGUAGCCUAAGUGGAGGCAGUGGUUCUUAAACUUUGCCAUAUCCUACACUGGUGUAAAAGGC